rnacentral:tRNA from 1 species
GUCUCUGUGGCUCAGUUGGAAGAGCGUUGGUCUCAUAGGAACUCUCUAUGACUCUGUCUAAAGACAUGGAUAUCCAAAGGUCGCAAGUUCGAGCCUUGCCAGGGACA